AUAUCAGUCCAUCUCUUCUUUUUGGUUGUCUGGGAGAGGAUGUUAACAUCACCUGCAGAUUUACAGAAUGGAGAUGGAAGUGUUUUUUAUUCUACAGAAUCAAGGAAACCAACAUAGUUAAAUGAACCCAGCAGAUGAGAAAAUUGAGGCAUGAGAGAGGGUAAGUCAAUUGCUCAAGGUCCAACAGCCGAGGAACAGCUGUCUGGUUCCAGAACCCAUUCUUCUUGACUGUGUGCUAUACUGCUUAUUGCUACAUAUAUCCAAACCAAAGCCAAGAGAAUCUUAGCAGCCGGAAGCAAGAAUCAAGGUAUUUUGUACCACCUCAACAGCCCGACCUCCCCAAAG